rnacentral:lncRNA from 1 species
CAUAUUCAUGUUUAGUAGCAUUUAUGGGAAUUUUGAAUGCUUGGAACUCAUAUGUUAUGCAUCAAGAAAGUUACUCUAUAUAGUAGAGAGACAAAUGUGCUUUGUUAAUAUGCAUGCGACGAAUAUUCUAUGAGAUGAUAGGAAAUAAAGUUUCAUGCUUCGAUUUUGACUAGAAAUUAUAAGUUCUUGAACUUAGUAUCCAUGUUGGGACAAAAUGAGCCAUAGUGUCAUAAAGAGGCACUUGGACUAGAGAAUUAUUAAACUGCAACAUAGAGACUUGAUAAUAGGCCACAUUGACAACAACUAUAUUCCAUAUUUGAGAUAUGAUGAAAUAGUGACUUGGCCACGAGGACAUUUGCUAUAUACCAUGUUACUGAACAUGAGGAUUUGGUACUUGCGACUGAUCGUUUGAUUACUUGCCAUUGUGCUCAUUCGCACAUGCUUGUGAGGGUCGCUCCCUACAAGCCGGCACUCCGGAGAUGGCCAUCGCGAUACAUAUUCGCCGUGCGGGAUUGGGCGCCGAAGUGGAUUGCCGUGGGCCAGGCUCAUUCCUAGGGUGGGGAUGAUGACUACCACGGGGCCAUUAGGCUCGGCACCGGCCAGACAGCCUACGGGUGGGUCUCAGGGCCAUAGACAGCCUUCGGGUGGGUCUCUUCAGAUUUGACUUGAGUAUUCAUCAUGACAUGUGGACAGAUGAUGACUUAGAGUAUUAUUUGGACAUUGACUAGAAUAGUAAACAACGGAACUUUACUAUUUCGCAUUGUGAACAUUAUGAUAGUUGGAGACUUUUACUUCAUGCAUAGUUGCUUCAUACUUAUGCUAUUUAUGCUAAGUAGAGAUAUCAUGUUGUAGUAAGUUACAUUUUACUUACCUUUCGCUUUUCUACAUUUAUAGUCACUAACCUCUUUUGUAGCUUUGGGCCUUGUGGUGCAUUCACUGAAGUCAGUAAUUGCCCACUGGGAACUAUUUUUGAUAGUUCUCACCCCCCUGUUUUAUGGUUUCCUUUUCAGAGCCUUCUGCACCGGCGGAGGCACGGGAUCGCGGCAAGGGGAUCGCGUAGCUAGCUAGCGAGGAGCGGUACUUGCCUAGGUGGUUUACUCUUUCUUUUGUAGUUGAGAGAGUGAGAGUUUUUGUAUCCAUGUAUAGAGACCACCUGUGUAUCUACCUAUAGCACUUGUAUUUGGGAUUUCCUAUUGUAU